GAUGAAGAACGGCAGCGAAAUGCGAUAAGUAAUGUGAAUUGCAGAAUUCAGUGAAUCAUCGAAUCUUUGAACGCACAUUGCGCCCCCUGGUAUUCCGGGGGGCAUGCCUGUUCGAGCGUCAUUUCAACCCUCAAGCUCUGCUUGGUAUUGGGCGUCGCCGGGGAGUCUCCCCGGCGUGCCUCAAAGCCAUCGGCGGUGGUGCCUUUCUCUAAGCGUGGUAGAAUUUUUAUUCGCUUCUGAGUUGGGCUUCACCUGCCGGACAAACCGGGCCCUCGCGGCCCACCUCAGGUUGACCUCGGAUCAGGUAGGGAUACCCGCUGAACUUAAGCAUAUCAAUAAGCGGAGGA
rnacentral:misc_RNA from 1 species